rnacentral:tRNA from 1 species
CGCGGGGUAGAGCAGUCUGGUAGCUCAUCGGGCUCAUAACCCGAGGGUCAGUGGUUCAAAUCCACUCUCCGCCA